rnacentral:rRNA from 1 species
CUACGGGUCGCUGCAGUGAGGAAUUUUGCGCAAUGGGGGGAACCCUGACGCAGCAACGCCGCGUGAGUGAUGAAGGCUUUCGGGUCGUAAAGCUCUGUCAAGUGGGAAGAACCUAUGCAGUGUUAAUAUCACUGUAUACUGACGGUACCACUGAAGGAAGCACCGGGUAACUCCGUGCCAGCAGCCGCGGUAAUACGGGGGGUGCAAGCGUUAUUCGGAAUCAUUGGGCGUAAAGGGCACGUAGGCGGCUUGGUAAGUCAGAUGUGAAAGCCCGGGGCUUAACCCCGGAAGUGCAUUUGAUACUGUCAGGCUUGAGUAUGGGAGAGGGAAGUGGAAUUCCUGGUGUAGAGGUGAAAUUCGUAGAUAUCAGGAGGAACACCGGUGGCGAAGGCGACUUCCUGGACCAAUACUGACGCUGAGGUGCGAAGGCGUGGGUAGCAAACAGGAUUAGAUACCCUCGUAGUC